GCGGGCGUAGCUUAAUGGUAAAGCUCCGGUCUUCCAAACCGACGACGCGAGUUCGAUUCUCGUCGCCCGCU
rnacentral:tRNA from 1 species